rnacentral:rRNA from 1 species
GAACGGGACGCCAUAGAGGGUGAGAGCCCCGUCUGGUUGGAUGCCAAAUCUCUGUAAAGUUCCUUCAACGAGUCGAGUAGUUUGGGAAUGCUGCUCUAAAUGGGAGGUAUAUGUCUUCUAAAGCUAAAUACCGGCCAGAGACCGAUAGCGCACAAGUAGAGUGAUCGAAAGAUGAAAAGCACUUUGAAAAGAGAGUUAAAAAGUACGUGAAAUUGUUGAAAGGGAAGCGUUUAUGACCAGACUUGGGCUUGGUUAAUCAUCUGGGGUCUCCCCAGUGCACUUUUCCAGUCCAGGCCAGCAUCAGUUUUCCCCGGGGGAUAAAGGCGGCGGGAAUGUGGCUCUCUUCGGGGAGUGUUAUAGCCCACCGUGUAAUACCCUGGGGGGGACUGAGGUUCGCGCAUCUGCAAGGAUGCUGGCGUAAUGGUCAUCAACGACCCGU